rnacentral:tRNA from 1 species
GUUUAAGUAGCUCAAUUAGGUAGAGCGCAUGACUCAGGAUCGUGUUGUCGCGAGUUCGAAUCUCGCCUUAAACC